GCGCGCCCACGUGGGCCACCGGGCACGGCGGCCGUCAGCUCUGCCAAGUGCCGCGGGUCCGGACUCCUGGGGACUCGCCGCCCCCCAGACGCUCAGAGGCAGUUGCCGGGACUAGAGAGGAUUAGACUCGCAGGGAACAGGCACUGUCCGUCAAGGGCUGGCUGCAGCCCGGAGAGGACCGGAGCGCGGGCAAUGCCCUCACCCACAGGUGAAGCCAUGUCUGAGGGAAGCUGCAUGUCCCACAGAGGAAAGGAGGGUCUCUGAGGAGAGAAGACAGGAGCGGAGUCGGCAGCAUGGAAGAACCAUUACAUCACUGAGGCCCAGAAGGGACCAUCAUCCACCCCUUUGUUUCCCUGAGAGGAGAAAAUGACCAGUGAGACCCACUUGUAUGACUGAAGGACUUCCUGAACUUCCCUCCUGUGUCAGCAUCCAUGUACUAAGGACCACUGGCUUACAAGAAAAAACGAAAGUGUCAUUUCUAACAUCCGUCUUUUUCCUGAGUCUCGCUGUGAGAAAGUUUUGGGGGCACAAAACCAGUUUCCCAUGGGGGAGGAAUAGAGCCCUCUACCUUGGGCAGUGCACAGGCAGGCAGCUCAGGAUUGAUUGGUCAGAACUUCAGCUAGCACCUGCUCUCCUAGGACCCAGCCAGACCUGCCCUGCAGCCUUUGUCCUUGUCCUCGGGAGGGAAACAUUAGUUCAGUUAAUUUUUCAUCCCUGUGGGUGCAAAGUUCAAGAGAGGCAGGAUUGUGGGUGGAGACAGCUAUGUCUCCCUAGGAAUAGAGAGCACAAUCAGGUCAGAGCCUAAGAUACCCACACGCUAAGUGUGUAUGGUGUGGUUCCUGGGGGAAUCAUGCAAAGAAAUGAACAGGAACAUCUGGCCACAGUUAAGAUAGUUAAUCAACAGGUGAUGAAUGGAGAAAGAGCAUCAAGAGGGCUCUGCCUACAUCUCACACAGAAGGGAGGCAACUGGUGGACAAGCAAGGCUUGAAGCAUCAUCAGAGGCCCUCCUGCAGGAGACAGCCUUUGCCUGCAGGCUUGGUCUAGCAGGUGUCUGUAGUCCAUACCCAAGGUGGCCCUCCUAGAACUCAGGAAACCCAGGUUCCACAUGGAGCUCCAUGUCCAGCCAAGAACCAACUUCUAAAAGUUGAUCUCUGACCUCCACAUGAGGGCUGUGGCACACAUCUGCCUCCCAUAAAUGAAUGUAUAUGUACAAAUCAGUAAAUGUAGUUGUCAUUUUAAACAAAGCCACUGUCCCAAGUAAAAUCAAUAAAUUAGUAGUACGAUGCUAUAUGUCAAAUAUAAAGAUAACACACAGCAAA